CCUACGGGUGGCAGCAGUGAGGAAUAUUGGUCAAUGGACGCAAGUCUGAACCAGCCAUGCCGCGUGCAGGAUGACGGCUCUAUGAGUUGUAAACUGCUUUUGUACGGGGGUAAACCCCGAUACGUGUAUCUGUUUGCACGUAUCGUACGAAUAAGGGUCGGCUAACUCCGUGCCAGCAGCCGCGGUAAUACGGAGGAUCCGAGCGUUAUCCGGAUUUAUUGGGGUUAAAGGGUGCGUAGGCGGUGUGAUAAGUUAGAGGGGAAAUGUCGGGGCUCAACCCCGAAACCGCCUCUAAUACUGUGGGACUAGAGAAUAGUUGCGGUAGGCGGAAUGUAUGGUGUAGCGGUGAAAUGCUUAGAGAUCAUACAGAACACCGAUUGCGAAGGCAGCUUACCAAACUAUAUCUGACGUUGAGGCACGAAAGCGUGGGUAGCAAACAGGAUUAGAUACCCUGGUAGUC
rnacentral:rRNA from 1 species